AGGCAUGGAGCCCAUUUUCUAUAACCUGUGUUUUCUGUCUUCCAGAGGAACGAGCACAGAGACCGCGGCUGCAGCUUAAACCUCGGACAGUGGCAACACCCCUCAAUCAAGUAGCCAACCCCAACUCAGCCAUCUUCGGGGGAGCCAGGCCCAGAGAGGAAGUGGUUCAGAAGGAGCAAGAAUGAGCUUAGGUUGGGAGGGAAUGGGGUGUGGGGGAGCUGGAGCAAGAGCACAGCCUGGUGGCAGGCAGUCGCCCUGCAGGCCCCAUUCCCGCCUGGCACUGUCCUCCUUACAGCGGGAACACAGAGCUUGCGAGUGCAUGUCAGCUGUUAACAAGUGGUUUCUAGUACAUUCUUGGCUUUGCUGUAUCUAUCUAGUGCCUGUUUUGUGCUUUCUUUCUGUUUUCUUUCUCUCCCCUCUCACUCCUGGCCUCUCCCUGCUCCUUCCCACGCCGUGUGGAUGUCGGUCACGUGUGGAAGGUGGGCUGAGGUGCCUCAUCCUUUGCUUUCUUUCUUUCCUUUCCGCGCCCUGGCCACGCUCCGGGUGUGCUGUCCUCUGCUUUUUCUCAGAGCUUCUCUCCAAUCUGCAUGUCGAGUUCUGUGUUGCUGUGGCUUCUGGGAAAGAGCUGGGGCCACUAGCUAGGCGGCUGUGGUGGCCUGUUGGUAGGUAUCCAGCUGGGAUGAGCACACAGAAUUGGAGGCAUCUUGCUUUAAAACAAGGAAACUGCCUUCUGGUCCCGAGAGGCUGCUGUGUUUGGGGUCAGUCACCUGCCCCAAGCAGCCUGUUCAGGUAUAGCAGGCUCCUGUCAAACAGUGAGGCCAGAAGGGUGCAGGGAAUUGGGACAUUCUGCUCU
rnacentral:lncRNA from 1 species